UGGCGCACGGGUGCGUAACGCGUAUGCAACCUACCUUUUACUAGAGUAUAGCCCAGAGAAAUUUGGAUUAAUCCUCUAUAACAUCUUUUAAUUUCAUGAUUUUAAGAUUAAAGUUUUAAUGGUAAAAGAUGGGCAUGCGUCCUAUUAGUUUGUAGGUGAGGUAACGGCCCACCUAGACUACGAUAGGUAGGGGCCCUGAGAGGGGGAUCCCCCACACUGGUACUGAGACACGGACCAGACUCCUACGGGAGGCAGCAGUAAGGAAUAUUGGACAAUGGACGAAAGUCUGAUCCAGCCAUGCCGCGUGCAGGAUGACAGCCCUACGGGUUGUAAACUGCUUUUAUACAGGAAGAAACACUCCGACGUGUCGGAGCUUGACGGUACUGUAAGAAUAAGGAUCGGCUAACUCCGUGCCAGCAGCCGCGGUAAUACGGAGGAUCCAAGCGUUAUCCGGAAUCAUUGGGUUUAAAGGGUCCGCAGGCUGUUUUUUAAGUCAGAGGUGAAAUCCUACAGCUCAACUGUAGAACUGCCUUUGAUACUGGAAAACUUGAGUUAUUGUGAAGUGGUUAGAAUGUGUGGUGUAGCGGUGAAAUGCAUAGAUAUCACACAGAAUACCGAUUGCGAAGGCAGAUCACUAACAAUAUACUGACGCUCAUGGACGAAAGCGUGGGGAGCGAACAGGAUUAGAUACCCUGGUAGUCCACGCCGUAAACGAUGGAUACUAGCUGUUCGUCUAACAUUGGUUAGAUGAGUGGCUAAGCGAAAGUGAUAA
rnacentral:rRNA from 1 species